rnacentral:miRNA from 1 species
UUUCUCUUAUCUUUUAUCUGUG